CAGUGUGUAGCGCAGCCUGGUAGCGCACGUGACUUGGGCUCACGGGGUCGCAGGUUCGAGCCCUGCCACACUGACCA
rnacentral:tRNA from 1 species